GACGGAGGGUGCAAGCGUUGUUCGGAUUGACUGGGCGUAAAGAGCUCGUAGGCGGUCCGUCACGUCGGCUGUGAAAACCCGAGGCUCAACCUCGGGCCUGCAGUCGAUACGGGCGGACUAGAGUCCGGUAGGGGAGAGUGGAAUUCCCGGUGUAGCGGUGAAAUGCGCAGAUAUCGGGAGGAACACCGGUGGCGAAGGCGGCUCUCUGGACCGGUACUGACGCUGAGGAGCGAAAGCGUGGGGAGCGAACAGG
rnacentral:rRNA from 1 species